rnacentral:lncRNA from 1 species
CGAGCAGGAAGGUGUGCGGGAAUUUCUGCCCCCGCGACCACAGAAGCGCGCCAGGUUCCAGCUCAUGGCAGUGAGAAGAUGGAGAGCAAGCGGGCGAAACGGUCUGGCAAAGUGCCAGCAAAGUAUACCGACGAUGUAUAUGAAGUACCUGUCUCCAGACACGUUCAAAGAAAAGUUUCAGAACCGAGUGUGUCCACCACUGCAGUGAAGAAAGCAGUUGAGCAAGUGACAGAACCUACUGCAAAUGCUGAAAAAGUGAAGAAACAUCAUUCCUUUACCACUCAACCUGCACAACAGCUGAAGAAAGAUCAAACUGCUCUUAAACUAAAGUUUGAUGAUCAACAUCAGUCAUCUGCAGGACCUCAGCAGUCAACCCUUCGGAUGUCUGCUACAUCUCAGCAUUCUCCAACCUCUACAGACUCAUCAAAGUCUUCAGAUUCAGAGGAUUCAGAGGCCUCGCUCAAAAAGAAGAAGCAAAAGACAAAAUCAAAGACUGAUUAUUUCAGCCGAGUGUGAUGGCGCAGUUUCCUAUGCGCUCUUAAAAUAGGAAUGAACAGAAGUCAGCGCGCACCUGUCUCUUAAAGGUAAUGACUACAGACACACUGAUUGGUUUAUUUCAUGUUACGCCCAAAACACACCCAUGAAUAAUUAAGGAAUUAAAACACACCGUUUGCGCUGUUGGAGCUGCGCAAGCCGUAUUUUUCGC